UAGGGUAUAGCCAAGAGGUUUAAGGCAACGGGUUUUGAUCCCGUCAUUCUCAGGUUCGAAUCCUGAUACCCUAU
rnacentral:tRNA from 2 species